rnacentral:rRNA from 1 species
UACGUAAGUGGCGAGCGUUAUCCGGAAUUACUGGGCGUAAAGCGUGCGUAGGCGGUUUAGUGUGUGGGAUUGAAAGCCCGGGGCUCAACUCCGGACCCGGUUCCCAAACUGCUUGGCUUGAGACCAGGAGAGGUGAGUGGAAUUCCCAGUGUAGCGGUGAAAUGCGUAGAUAUUGGGAGGAACACCAGUGGCGAAGGCGGCUCACUGGACUGGUACUGACGCUGAGGCGCGAAAGCGUGGGGAGCAAACGGG